rnacentral:rRNA from 1 species
AGCGAACGCUGGCGGCAGGCCUAACACAUGCAAGUCGAACGAACUCUUCGGAGUUAGUGGCGGACGGGUGAGUAACACGUGGGAACGUGCCCUUUGGUACGGAAUAACUCAGGGAAACUUGAGCUAAUACCGUAUGUGCCCUUCGGGGGAAAGAUUUAUCGCCAUUGGAGCGGCCCGCGUCUGAUUAGCUAGUUGGUGAGGUAAAGGCUCACCAAGGCUACGAUCAGUAGCUGGUCUGAGAGGAUGACCAGCCACAUUGGGACUGAGACACGGCCCAAACUCCUACGGGAGGCAGCAGUGGGGAAUCUUGCGCAAUGGGCGAAAGCCUGACGCAGCCAUGCCGCGUGGAUGAUGAAGGUCUUAGGAUUGUAAAAUCCUUUCACCGGUGAAGAUAAUGACUGUAGCCGGAGAAGAAGCCCCGGCUAACUUCGUGCCAGCCGCCGCCGUAAGAC